UCGUAUAAAACUGAUAAAAAACGCUAAUAGUUUGCUUAGCCUACUUAAAUUUCAGAUGUUUGUACAUUGUGUUAUAUAUGACUAUAGAUCACUUUCAUACUAAGUCCCCUUUAAACCUUACAUUUAUGCCAAUGACUCGAUUACCCGUUUGACCAAUGAGAGACAGAUUUUCAAAAGAUCUCGAAAGCGCCGAGAAAAGUAUUUCUUGAACCUUGGAAUUCCUUCCGUGAUUAAAACGUGACAAAAAUAACAUGUGAUAUACACAGUCUUAGAUGCCAGUGGCAUAUUAUUUGCCACCUAGUUGAAAAACGUUAUUACGCACAUGCUACUCCGUUAUGUAACUUAACGUUGUGUCAUCAUCGAACUAGUAUAUUCACCCUGCAACAGGUAGAUAGAGGGACACACACGAUCAAACUCGGGGAAGCAGCGUCAAUAGGUACAAAAACAAAACUGGAGUUGCUACUGCAGGAAGCUCUACACGUAGUGGUGGUCUUGGUGACUUGGGGCCAUGCUGCGUAUUUGUACACGGAGAAGUACCCCUGGAGACUUGAUGUGUGGCAUUUGGCGUGUAUUCGAUGGGCUGAUUUGAUGUUGCACUGGAUUCUAUUUUUCCUCUAUCGCAGCCAGCUACAUCUGUUGAUGGGUAUUUGGCAUGUCAUAAAAGUACCAAGCAUCGCUCAUAGCUUCGAUGACAUGAUCCCAGGCCUUGGGGAGAAACUGUUGCGUUUUCAGCCCGCCAACGCCGUGGACGUUGCAACAUACCUCACCACCGCCCUUACGAUAACCUCCCUGAAUGCAAAAGUGGUCGGCUCUUUGAUGUAUGCCUUGCUGAAAUGGCAAGGCCUCUAUUACUGACCCUUUUACCUACAUGAUAUAACAACUCUGAAAAAAUAGAAUCCGAAUUUAUAUUCCACGUGCACUUGAUUUAUCUUCUUUUUGUCGAGUUUUAUGGGAAAAAACGAAUGUAAUUGAACUCAUUUGUUAUUAAAGGCAUAAUAAACACAUCCUUUGACGUC